rnacentral:tRNA from 1 species
AGGAAUGUAGCUCAAUGGUAGAGCUCCUACCUAGCAAGUACAAAGCUCUGGGUUGGAUCCCCAUUACUA